UCAGACGAUGCGUCAUGCAUAUCAAUAAGCGGAGGAAAAGAAACUAACAAGGAUUCCCCUAGUAACGGCGAGUGAAGCGGGAAGAGCUCAAAUUUGAAAUCUUAAAGGGUUUCCCUUUACGAAUUGUAGUUUAAGGAAGUGUUUUCUGUUGAGGUUUUGGUAAAAGUUCUUUGGAAUAGGACAUCAUAGAGGGUGAGAAUCCCGUAUUUGACCUUUACUUUCAACUUUGUGAUACACUUUCAAAGAGUCGGAUUGUUUGGGAAUGCAGUCCAAAAUGGGUGGUAAAUUUCAUCUAAAGCUAAAUAUUGGCGAGAGACCGAUAGCGAACAAGUACCGUGAGGGAAAGAUGAAAAGAACUUUGAAAAGAGAGUUAAACAGUACGUGAAAUUGUCAAAAGGGAAGCGUUUGACACCGGUGUUGUUUUUCUGAAAAUCAAUUAAAGAACUGUUUAUGCUAAGCUGUUUAGACUUUAUCAGCUAUCUGUUUAGUUUUGAGCUUUUCUUUAAUGCACUUUUCAGUUAACAAGUCAACAUCAAUUUCUUUUGCUGUAAAAAAGCUUGAGGAAGGUGGCUUGAGAUUCGUCUUAAGUGUUUAUAGCCUCUUGCCUAUGCAGUCGGAGAGAUUGAGGUCUGCAGCGUAGAUCCUUCGGGGCUAAAUGCAUUUGUGCUAAGUUAUAGCAUUUUAUAGACAACUUGUUGACUAUGAUUUGAUCUUGUAGCUUACUCGCUUAUGCUAUUUUACCUACGCUUAGGAUGUUGAAGUCAUCGUAUCGCGC
rnacentral:rRNA from 1 species